AUUGAACGCUGGCGGCAUGCUUUACACAUGCAAGUCGAACGGUAACAGGCCUUCGGGUGCUGACGAGUGGCGAACGGGUGAGUAAUGCAUCGGAACGUGCCCAGAGACGGGGGAUAACGCAGCGAAAGCUGUGCUAAUACCGCAUGGGAUCUGAGGAUGAAAGCGGGGGACCAGGCAGCAAUGUUUGGCCUCGCGCCUUUGGAGCGGCCGCUGUCAGAGUAGGUAGUUGGGGGGGUAAAGGCCUACCAAGCCGACGAUCUGUAGCUGGUCUGAGAGGACGACCAGCCACACUGGGACUGAGACACGGCCCAGACUCCUGCGGUAGGAAGCGGUCGGGAAUCUUGGACAAUGGGCGCGAGCCUGAUCCAGCAAUACGGCGGACGGGAAGAAGGCCUUCGGGUUGUAAACCGCUGUUGUACGUAGCGAAAAGGCUCUGGCUAAUACCUGGGGCUGAUGACGGUACCGGAAGAAUAAGCACCGGCUAACUACGUG
rnacentral:rRNA from 1 species